AACGAACGCUGGCGGCAGGCUUAACACAUGCAAGUCGAACGCCCCGCAAGGGGAGUGGCAGACGGGUGAGUAACGCGUGGGAACAUACCCUUUCCUGCGGAAUAGCUCCGGGAAACUGGAAUUAAUACCGCAUACGCCCUACGGGGGAAAGAUUUAUCGGGGAAGGAUUGGCCCGCGUUGGAUUAGCUAGUUGGUGGGGUAAAGGCCUACCAAGGCGACGAUCCAUAGCUGGUCUGAGAGGAUGAUCAGCCACAUUGGGACUGAGACACGGCCCAAACUCCUACGGGAGGCAGCAGUGGGGAAUAUUGGACUAUGGGCGGAAGGCUGAUCCAGCCAUGCCGCGUGAGUGAUGAAGGCCUUAGGGUUGUAAAGCUCUUUCACCGAUGAAGAUAAUGACGGUAGUCGGAGAAGAAGCCCCGGCUAACUUCGUG
rnacentral:rRNA from 1 species